GGCCUGCAACUCUAAACUUUUGCUAAACUUUACUAAUAGUAGAGCACUAGUAUUUGUAGUAUUUUAAGUAUUUCUCAAUCAAAGCAACGUUUCCAACGACGGUUGUCAAGCGUUGUUGUUUGCUUGGCUUCUGUCAUCGUGGUCUGUGCUGUUGAGGUACGAAUGCCAUCUUCAUCUUACGAGAGUUAACAAGUUCCUCUUGAAUAUAAAGUAAUUUGUGAUCUAACGUAGAGGAGAGCGCAGGAAAGACCGGAUGACACAGUUGGGCAUCUGUUUCUGAUCACCAAGGUUGACGGACGUGUAGACGCUUUACGGUGAUCAACGGGAUGGGAUCAGGGGUCACGAAUCGGCGAUCGGAUCAGCGGCCUUGACAACGGAUUGUGGUUGAUCUCGUGCGUAGCGAAGAGAAGGCAUGGAGGCGUGAGUGCGAGGCGGCGAUUGUCGACAGAGGCAGUCGUUUAGGAUCACAGAAUAGUUUGGCCGAUGGUUGCUGAUUCGGACGGCUGCAGCAGUCGUAAAGGACUACCGAAGGGCUGGGCCGAUGGCUUCAGGUUCAGCGGCCGGCUCCGGUGACUAAUGAGUUUACAGAGGUGUCCAAGCUCUGUUGGCUGAUUCGCCAGCUAAGGUCGAGAGGAAAAGUUUUCCAGGGUUGAUGAAGCAGGGCUUCGUUGUACCAGAACAAUCAAAAUGUUACCGUGCAGCAACAGGAUUAUUGCAUAAAAUAACUGUACAUAUUUAAGGGUCUUCAUAGUUGUGAUAUAUUUGAAUAAUUGUCAUUAUGAUAUAAAUACAUAACGGAAAACUGCUUUAAAUA